AUAUGGCUUAGUUAGGGGGCAGAGAGUAAUGGAUCUUUUGAGGCCUUUUGAGGGGACUUCUUGGAUACUCCCAUCUGCUGUCCUCCAAGCAGCCUUGGACAUGA